UUUUCCAACUUUUUAUUUCUCAACUUGCUUGACUUCAAAACUUAACUUACGAUCAUUGGGAGACUAUAUCACCUUAUAAAACAUCCUUAUUAGCAUAUCAGACACUCUUUGUCUUAUCCCCAAAGGUACCGGUUAACUUAAGCGUUCUGAACAGGCGGGGUGUUAGAAUAGACAUUCUUUAACUCGAACUUGUUUAAGGGCAUCCUUGACCCAUAAUGUUAGUCUAAUUCUUUGAUUUUAUUUAACUCCCC
rnacentral:lncRNA from 1 species